rnacentral:rRNA from 1 species
AGUGGAUGGGGAGCAACCUAGUUGUGCGUGUGUAAAGGUAGUGCCAAGAAAAGCGAUGAUCAUGUUGAAAAUCAAUUCCCGGUACCCGAAACCGACACAGGUGGGCAAGUAGAGAAUACUAAGGGGCGCGAGGUAACUCUCUCCAAGGAACUCGGCAAAAUGACCCCGUAACUUAGGGAGAAGGGGUGCCACCGAGAGGUGGUCGCAGUGAAGAGGCCCAGGCGACUGUUUAGCAAAAACAUAGGUCUCUGCAAACUCGAAAGAGGAGGUAUAGGGGCUGACGCCUGCCCAGUGCCGGAAGGUUAAAGAAGUUGGUCAGUCUUAGGAUGAAGCUAGCGACUGAAGCCGCGGUGAACGGCGGCCGUAACUAUAACGGUCCUAAGGUAGCGAAAUUCCUUGUCGGGUAAGUUCCGACCCGCACGAAAGGCGUAACGAUCUGGGCGCUGUCUCGGAGAGAGGCUCGGCGAAAUAGGAUUGUCUGUGAAGAUACGGACUACCUGCAUUUGGACAGAAAGACCCUAUGAAGCUUUACUAUAGCUUGGAAUUGUGUUCGGGCUUCCUGUGCGCAGGAUAGGUGGGAGGCGUAGAAGGUAUUCUUGUGGGGAUACUGGAGCCAACGGUGAGAUACCACUCUCAGGAGGCUAGAAUUCUAACUUAAUUAAGGACAGUUUCAGGUGGGUAGUUUGACUGGGGCGGUCGCCUCCAAAAAGGUAACGGAGGCGUACAAAGGUUCCCUCAGACUGGUUGGAAAUCAGUCGAAGAGUGCAAAGGCAGAAGGGAGCUUGACUGCGAGAAGUACAGUUCGAGCAGGGUGGAAACACGGUCUUAGUGAUCCGACGGUGCUGUGUGGAAGGGCCGUCGCUCAACGGAUAAAAGUUACUCUAGGAUAACAGGCUGAUCUCCCCCAAGAGUUCACAUCGACGGGGAGGUUUGGCACCUCGAUGUCGGCUCAUCGCAACCUGGGGCGGAAGUACGUCCCAAGGGUUGGGCUGUUCGCCCAUUAAAGCGGUACGUGAGCUGGGUUCAGAACGUCGUGAGACAGUUCGGUCCAUAUCCGAUGUAGGCGUGAGAAUAUUGAGAGGAGCCUUCCUUAGUACGAGAGGACCGGGAAGGACGCACCGCUGGUGUACCUGUUAUGAUGCCAAUUGUAAACGCAGGGUAGCCAAGUGCGGAGAGGAUAACCGCUGAAAGCAUCUAAGUGGGAAGCCCACCUCAAGAUGAGUAUUCUGGUGUAAGGUCACGGGAAGACGACCCGUAAAUAGGCACGAGGUGGAAGUGCAGAGAUGUAUGAAGCCGAAGUGUACUAAUAGACCGUCGGCUUGAC